GUCCUGGUCGGAUGCGGAACGG
rnacentral:snRNA from 1 species